GGCUUAUUAAUUUUUUUUUACGUAAAUGCUCAACCGUAAAAAAUAAUUUGCCAUUUCAAGUUUACUUAUUCUGGCGUAUUAUAGUAGCAUUCAAAAUGCAGAAAGUAAUCAUUGCAGUUUUACUUACGGUGCAAAUAGCAAUCGUGCUUUCUCAAUACUGCGAUACAGUUACUUGUACUAGUCCUUUAGUAUGCAGAGAUACCAUAAACCCUUGUAUAAAUAAUUGCGCCUAUCGCUAUGGAUCAACAUUUUGUGCCCAACAAGUUAUAGUUGGUUGUUACUGCCCAGUUGGAUAUUGCAAUAAUAAUGGAAUAUGUAUGAAAUACUAAAUUAUUUUUUAAUUCAUUUGAACAUUUUGGUAAUAUAUCUUUUUGCAAAAUAAAAAAUAAAAAUGAUGAUUGAUGCAAAA